rnacentral:rRNA from 1 species
AUUGAACGCUGGCGGCAGGCCUAACACAUGCAAGUCGAACGAGUGGCGGACGGGUGAGUAAUGUCUGGGAAACUGCCUGAUGGAGGGGGAUAACUACUGGAAACGGUAGCUAAUACCGCAUACCAUCAGAUGUGCCCAGAUGGGAUUAGCUGGUUGGUGGGGUAACGGCUCCCCAAGGCGACGCUCCCUAGCUGGGCUGAGAGGAUGACAGGCCGCCCUGGAACUGAGACAGAGGCCAUAUUCCUACGGGAGGCAGCAGUGGGGAAGAUUGCGCAAUGGGCGCGAGCCUGAUGCAGCCAUGCCGCGUGUAUGAAGAAGGCCUUCGGGUGGUAAAGUACUUUCAGCGGGGAGGCGUUACCCGCAGAAGAAGCACCGGAUAACUCCGUGCCAGCAGCCGCGGUAAUUC